UACGAAGGGUGCAAGCGUUACUCGGAAUUACUGGGCGUAAAGGGCGCGUAGGCGGCCAUGCGUGUCUUCCGUGAAAUCCCUCGGCUUAACCGAGGACGUGCGGAAGAAACUGCAAGGCUCGAGUCCGGAAGAGGGGGGCGGAAUUCCCAGUGUAGCGGUGAAAUGCGUAGAUAUUGGGAGGAACACCAGUGGCGAAGGCGGUCCCCUGGGCCGGAACUGACGCUGAGGCGCGAAAGCGUGGGUAGCAAACGGG
rnacentral:rRNA from 1 species